rnacentral:rRNA from 1 species
CCCUAUGGGGUGCAGCAGGCGCGAAACCUCCUCAAUGCACUAAAGUGCGAAGGGGUUACCUCGAGUGCUAUCUGAAGAAGGUGGCUUUUACAUUGUCUAACCAGCUAUGUGAAUAAGAGGGGGGCAAGACUGGUGUCAGCCGCCGCGGUAACACCAGCCCCUCGAGUGGUGGGGAUGAUUAUUUGGCCUAAAGCGUCCGUAGCCGGCCAUGUAAGUCUCCCGUUAAAUCCAGCGUCCUAAGCGUUGGACUGCGGGAGAUACUGUAUGGCUAGAGGGUGGGAGAGGUCAGCGGUAUUCUGGGGGUAGGGGCGAAAUCCUUUGAUCCCCGGAGGACCACCAGUGGCGAAGGCUGCUGACUAGAACACGCCUGACGGUCAGGGACGAAAGCUGGGGUAGCGAACCGGAUUAGAUACCCGGGUAGUCCCAGCCGUAAACGAUGCAUGCUAGGUGUUGGGUCGGCCACGAGCCGCCCCAGUGCCGCAGGGAAGCCGUUAAGCAUGCCGCCUGGGGAGUACGGCCGCAAGGCUGAAACUUAAAGGAAUUGGCGGGGGAGCACCACCAGGCGUGAAGCCUGCGGUUUAAUUGGAGUCAACGCCGGGAACCUUACCGGGAGCGACAGCAGAGUGAAGGCCAAGUUGAAGACCUUGCCAGACAAGCUGAGAGGUGGUGCAUGGGCCAA